UACGUAGGGGGCAAGCGUUGUCCGGAAUCAUUGGGCGUAAAGAGCGUGUAGGCGGCCCGGUAAGUCCGCUGUGAAAGUCCAGGGCUCAACCCUGGGAUGCCGGUGGAUACUGUCGGGCUCGAGUCCGGAAGAGGAGUGUGGAAUUCCUGGUGUAGCAGUGAAAUGCGUAGAUAUCAGGAGGAACACCGGUGGCGAAGGCGGGUCUCUGGGCCUUACCUGACGCUGAGGAGCGAAAGCGUGGGUAGCGAACAGG
rnacentral:rRNA from 1 species